rnacentral:misc_RNA from 1 species
CUUGUCUGUUUUGAUCCCUCACCAAUACGAGUACUCGUCUUUACACUAAUCAACUCUGUCAAUAAUUUUAUUAUCUAAAAACAAAAUAAGAUGGAAUUUAAAAAGUUUUUUCUGUUAUUCGUUGCACUUUUCAUGAUGUUAUCUCUUGCAACGUCUGCACCUGCACCGGCUCCUAAAUGGAAGUUUUGGAAAAAAGUUGAACACGUUGGUCAAAACAUCAGAGACGGAAUCAUUAAGGCUGGACCUGCGGUGGCGGUUGUGGGAUCAGCUGCGAGCCUCGGAAAAUAAAUCUUCAUCUUUAUAAAAUAUAACACUGGCUUGUUAGAUAGUUUGGACUAUUCAGCUGUACCUUGUAAAUAGAAAAUAUAUCAUCUUUCCUUAUUAUCUGUUAUUAUUUCUAAGAUUUUAUUUUUCCAUUAUUCUGCUUUCGGUUUAUUGUUUCUUGGACUAUUAUUCAUGAACAACGACUUUUUUAAACUUCAGCUAGGAAGAAGUUAGACU